rnacentral:rRNA from 1 species
CUGGUCUUGACAUCCACGGAAGUUUUCAGAGAUGAGAAUGUGCCUUCGGGAACCGUGAGACAGGUGCUGCAUGGCUGUCGUCAGUUCGUGUCGUGAGAUGUUGGGUUAAGUCCCGUAACGAGCGCAACCCUUGUCCUUAGUUACCAGCACGUUAUGGUGGGCACUCUAAGGAGACUGCCGGUGACAAACCGGAGGAAGGUGGGGAUGACGUCAAGUCAUCAUGGCCCUUACGGCCUGGGCUACACACGUGCUACAAUGGUCGGUACAAAGGGUUGCCAAGCCGCGAGGUGGAGCUAAUCCCAUAAAACCGAUCGUAGUCCGGAUCGCAGUCUGCAACUCGACUGCGUGAAGUCGGAAUCGCUAGUAAUCGCGAAUCAGAAUGUCGCGGUGAAUACGUUCCC